rnacentral:snRNA from 1 species
GAAUGUGAGGGCAAUCUGGGUGCAACAUCUGUCCCCCCACUGAUCGCCAGGGUUGAUUCAUCUGAUCUGACUUUCUAGGCAGGUGCGUCCCUCGUGUAGCUGCACCACGGUCAGUCCUCAGUCGACUGAAGAGGACAACCUUCCCCAACAGAGAACUUGUCUCUCUGGUCGAGGGCAUAUGAGUCGCUGUGCUCCCCUGAUAGAACCUCCAAACAAGCUCUCAAUUAUCCUCUGAAGUUUUGAGGCAGUGUCUCUCACUGAACCUAGAAGCACAUGAUUUGCCUA